UAGAACGCUGGUCGGCAGGCUAACAUUACAGUCGAGCGCGCCUUCGGGUGAGCGGCGGACGGGUUAGUAACGCGCGUGCCCUUUUCUACGUGAAUAGCCUCUGGAAACGGAGAGUAAUACCGUAUACGCCCUUUGGGGGAAAGAUAUAUCGGAGAAGGAUCGGCCCGCGUUAGAUUAGGUAGUUGGUGGGGUAACGGCCUACCAAGCCUACGAUCUAUAGCUGGUUUUAGCACGAUGAUCAGCAACACUGGGACUGAGACACGGCCCAGACUCCUACGGGAGGCAGCAGUGGGGAAUCUUAGACAAUGGGGGCAACCCUGAUCUAGCCAUGCCGCGUGAGUGAUGAAUGCUUACUGCGUCUAGCUCCUCGCUGUCAUGAUAAUGACCGGCACGCCGUGCUCCGACACCCCGGCUAACUGCGUGCCCGCCGUCGUCGCCCUCCGGCGGGGGUCUCCGUUGUUCGG
rnacentral:rRNA from 1 species